GUCCCUGUAGCAAAAUGGAUAGUGCAUUAGACUUCUAAUCCAAAGGUCGUGGGUUCGAAUUCCACCUGGGAUG
rnacentral:tRNA from 1 species